GACGAACGCUGGCGGCGUGCCUAACACAUGCAAGUCGAGCGAGGAACUUCGGUUCCUAGCGGCGGACGGGUGAGUAACACGUGGGUAACCUGGCUCAUAGAGGGGGAUAGCCUUCCGAAAGGGAGAUUAAUACCGCAUAAGAAGUGAGAAUCGCAUGGUUCUAGCUUUAAAGGAGUAAUCCGCUAUGAGAUGGGCCCGCGGCGCAUUAGCUAGUUGGUGAGGUAACGGCUCACCAAGGCGACGAUGCGUAGCCGACCUGAGAGGGUGAUCAGCCACAUUGGGACUGAGACACGGCCCAAACUCCUACGGGAGGCAGCAGUGGGGAAUAUUGGACAAUGGGCGCAAGCCUGAUCCAGCCAUGCCGCGUGAGUGAUGAAGGCCUUAGGGUUGUAAAGCUCUUUCGUCCGGGACGAUAAUGACGGUACCGGAAGAAGAAGCCCCGGCUAACUUCGUGCCAGCAGCCGCCGUAAGAC
rnacentral:rRNA from 1 species